UACGAAGGGGGCUAGCGUUGCUCGGAAUCACUGGGCGUAAAGGGUGCGUAGGCGGGUUUUUAAGUCAGGGGUGAAAUCCUGGAGCUCAACUCCAGAACUGCCUUUGAUACUGGCAAUCUCGAGUCCGGGAGAGGUGAGUGGAACUGCGAGUGUAGAGGUGAAAUUCGUAGAUAUUCGCAAGAACACCAGUGGCGAAGGCGGCUCACUGGACCGGUAUUGACGCUGAGGUGCGAAAGCGUGGGGAGCAAACAGG
rnacentral:rRNA from 1 species